UACGGGGGGAGCAAGCGUUGUUCGGAUUUACUGGGCGUAAAGGGCGCGUAGGCGGUAGCACAAGUCAGUUGUGAAAUCUCCGGGCUUAACUCGGAAAGGUCAACUGAUACUGUGCGACUAGAGUGCAGAAGGGGCAACUGGAAUUCUCGGUGUAGCGGUGAAAUGCGUAGAUAUCUGGAGGAACACCGGUGGCGAAGGCGCCCACCUGGCCUGCUACUGACGCUGAAGCUCGAAAGCUAGGGGAGCAAACGGG
rnacentral:rRNA from 1 species